rnacentral:snoRNA from 1 species
UCCACAGUCCCAGCUCCGCAUAGCAAUGCUCGAUGUGCUCGUGCGGCGUUUGCGACUGUCAGAAUAACUUGGCUCAUAUUAUAUCACUGUUGGCUACUCUCUCCCGAUGUGUAGUUGAUGAAAAUGUAU